rnacentral:tRNA from 1 species
GGGGAUAUAGCUCAGUUGGUAGAGUGCUUGCCUUGCAUGCACACUGUCCUGAGUUCAAUCCCCAGCACCACCA